UACGUAGGGUGCGAGCGUUAAUCGGAAUUACUGGGCGUAAAGCGUGCGCAGGCGGUGAUGUAAGACCGAUGUGAAAUCCCCGGGCUUAACCUGGGAACUGCAUUGGUGACUGCAUCGCUGGAGUAUGGCAGAGGGGGGUAGAAUUCCACGUGUAGCAGUGAAAUGCGUAGAGAUGUGGAGGAAUACCGAUGGCGAAGGCAGCCCCCUGGGCCAAUACUGACGCUCAUGCACGAAAGCGUGGGGAG
rnacentral:rRNA from 1 species